UUGUGACUUGCUUUCCCCUGCCCUGAAGCGCAAGAAUACCAAGAUGAGAGCAGCCCUCACAGUUCACAAGCAAGUGACGCUAGCCCUGUGGAAGCCUGCAACACCAAACAGCUACUGGUCAGUUGGGCAUCAGUCUGAAAUGGGCAAAUCUACUAUAAAAAGAGGGAAAGAA